GUUACACAUCCAGUCUACGGCACAUAAGAGCUGCUCUCUGAUUGCGAGUGGCGAACGGGUGAGUAAUAUAUCGGAACGUGCCCAGUAAUGGGGAAUAACUAACUUGAAAGGUUAGCUAAUACCGCAUACGACUACGGGUGAAAGCAGGGAUCUUAGGACUUGCGUUAUUGGAGCGGCCGAUAUCUGAUUAGCUUGUUGGUGGGGUAAAAGCCUACCCAUGGCACGAUCAGUAGCUGGUCUGAGAGGACGAUCAGCCACACUGGAACUGAGACACUGUCCAGACUCCCUACGGGAGGCAGGCAGUGGGAAUCUUGGACACUGGGUGAAGCCUGUAUCAGGCAUCCCGCGUGAGUGAAGAAGUGCGUCGGGUUGUAAAGCUCUUUCGAAAGUGAAGACAACCUUAUUUCGUACUAUGUUAUAAGUAUUACCGGUACUCUUGAAAGAGACACGCGCUAGCUUCGUGUGCCGCAGGCGCGGGGAAACGUAAGGUGGCGCGCGUCACGGGAAUUCUGUGGGGUAAAGGUGGGCAGGGGGUUUGUAAGUCGAUUUAAACCCGCAGCUAAUGUGAACGGUUUGAAACCCAAACUCAU
rnacentral:rRNA from 1 species